rnacentral:rRNA from 1 species
AUGAACGCUAGCUACAGGCUUAACACAUGCAAGUCGAGGGGAAACGAUAGAGAAAGCUUGCUUUUUCUAGGCGUCGACCGGCGCACGGGUGAGUAACGCGUAUCCAACCUGCCCACCACUUGGGGAUAACCUUGCGAAAGUAAGACUAAUACCCAAUGAUAUCUCAAGAAGACAUCUGAAAGAGAUUAAAGAUUUAUCGGUGAUGGAUGGGGAUGCGUCUGAUUAGUUUGUUGGCGGGGUAACGGCCAACCAAGGCGGCGAUCAGUAGGGGUUCUGAGAGGAAGGUCCCCCACAUUGGAACUGAGACACGGUCCAAACUCCUACGGGAGGCAGCAGUGAGGAAUAUUGGUCAAUGGGCGAGAGCCUGAACCAGCCAAGUAGCGUGCAGGAUGACGGCCCUAUGGGUUGUAAACUGCUUUUAUAAGGGAAUAAAGUGAGCCUCGUGAGGCUUUUUGCAUGUACCUUAUGAAUAAGGACCGGCUAAUUCCGUGCCAGCAGCCGCGGUAAUACGGAAGGUCCGGGCGUUAUCCGGAUUUAUUGGGUUUAAAGGGAGCGUAGGCCGGAGAUUAAGCGUGUUGUGAAAUGUAGAUGCUCAACAUCUGCACUGCAGCGCGAACUGGUUUCCUUGAGUACGCACAAAGUGGGCGGAAUUCGUGGUGUAGCGGUGAAAUGCUUAGAUAUCACGAAGAACUCCGAUUGCGAAGGCAGCUCACUGGAGCGCAACUGACGCUGAAGCUCGAAAGUGCGGGUAUCGAACAGGAUUAGAUACCCUGGUAGUCCGCACGGUAAACGAUGGAUGCCCGCUGUUGGUCUGAAUAGGUCAGCGGCCAAGCGAAAGCAUUAAGCAUCCCACCUGGGGAGUACGCCGGCAGCGGUGCAACUCAAAGGAAUUGACGG